rnacentral:tRNA from 1 species
GUAAAUAUAGUUUAAACAAAACUCUAGAUUGUGAAUCUAAUAAUGAAGACUCAAAUCCUUCUAUUUACC